ensembl:lncRNA
CAUUGUUUUAACUGAAGUAAUGUUUUGAUCUAAAAUCAUCUAUACAUUGAGAAUGAAUGUAGAAAUGACAGUACUUUCUUAAUAAAAUACUUUUUUUUGGCAAAUGACCGAGAAGGUGUUCGGUGUCCAGCCCACCGGGAGGAUCCCACGUAGUAACCGGGCACUCUCUUGCGCCAAUGGCGGACUUACACCCAGGAUCCGACCAACGUAACGGAGGCAUGUGACGCAUCUUGCGUAGGAGCUGCACAGAAUACAGGGCACCAUUUCCUUAAAUAAACCAAGCGAACCCACUGCACAUGCGCGCUCUGCAGAGGACGUUGUUAUCUCCUCGUCCCAUAAUCGCUCGCAGGUACCCAGCGGUGGAUGUACUGUAUUCUCCACGCAUCCAGCAUGGGAUGCAUCAAGUAUAAGAGAAGAAGCCCAGAUUGUGUGUGCUGGGAGGGAAUUCCGUCUGCCGGUUUACUCCUCAUCCAGAAUGGUGACUUUUACACCAAACCCCGAGGGGCCACGCCGCGUCCUGCUGGACAAAACCAUUGUGAAGGACCCGCGGUUUGAGUGGACCAGAGACAGGAUGCUGGUUCUGAGAGAAGUGACUCACGAUGAUGAGGGGCUUUACGCCAUCAAACUGGUCUCUGGAUUCACCUACGAGGCCGUUCGUUUGAUUGUUUCAGAAUGCAUCAAGUCCUACCACGGAAAAUACGGCGAUAAGUUUGAGCACAGCAUCCCCGAAAACGGCUCCCUGCUGGAGUUCUCUCCCCGGGGCGCUCCGCCGGAGGCCAUGCCGGUCCUUCUGUGGAACCGGACCGACCCCGUG